AAGGCUGAGAUGUCCUCUGGCUUGGAGGGUGUGGCGUUUUUGGGCAGCAGCACUCGGAAUUGCUCGAUGAAUUCCUAUUUAUGAGAGCUUAUGCCUGACCAUACCAUGCCUCCAUAAGGCACUCCGUUCACACAACGCCAUACACUGUCUGCCAUCUGCCCGGUACAGUUGAAACCGAGAUUCAUCCGUGAAGAGCACACUUCUCCAGCAUGCCAAUGGCCAUUGAAGGUGAGAAUUUGCCCACUGAAGUUUCUUACAACACCAAACUGUAGUCAGGUCAAGACCCUGGUGAGUAUGACAAGCAAGCAGAUUAGCUUCCCUGAGACGGUUUCUGACAGUUUGUGCAGAAAUCUUUGGUUGUGCAAACCCACAAUUUAUCAGCUGUCCGGGUGGCUGGUCUCAGACGAUCCUGGAAGUGAAGAAGCCGGAUGUAGAGGAUCUGGGCUGGCAUGGUUACACAUGGUCUGCAGUUGUGAGGCCGGUUGGUUUUACUGCCAAAUUAUCUAAACAAUGUUGGAGGCGGCUUAUGGUAGAGAAAUUAACAUUCAAUUAUGUAGCAACAGCUCUGGUUGACAUUCCUGCAGUCAGCAUGCCAAUUGCACGCUCCCUCAAAACUUGGGACAUCUAUGUUAUUGUGUUGUGAGACAAACUGCACAUUUUUAGAGUGUUUCUUUUAUUAUCCCCAACACAAGGUGCAUCUGUGUAAUGAUCAUGCUGUUUAAUCAGCUUCUUGAUGCAAGACACCUGUCAGGUGGAUGGAUUAUCUUUGCAAAGGAGAAAUGCUCAGAUGUAAACAAAUAUAUGCCCAAAAUGUGAGAGAAAUAAGCUUUUGUGAGUAUGGGACCAACACUUUACAUGUUACGUUUAUACUUUUGUUCAGUAUAUAUGUCAAAGUUACGGUUAGCUAUUGGUAAAUAAUCAACAACAGAUAUUGCUUCCUUCCCGGUGUCUGCUGGCUAUCUGAGUCAGUGAACAGGUACAGUGUACCUGGAAGGUGUACUUGGCUCCAUAGCCAGACCUUCGGAUGCGAACCGUCUCCAGCAUGCCUGUGUAGCGCAGCUGCUGCAGCACCAGGGUCUCAUUCAGACACAUCUCCUUCUGUACACACAGACACACAGCACGUCGUUAGAGGAACGAACUCAAUCAUUUUCAUCAUCUUGGUUAGUUGGAGCGAAUACAGCGGACGAAGAAGGGCUCUGCUCUGCCCAGAUUCUCCAGCAGCUUUGUCAGAGAGGUGUAUGUUAGUGGCUGCAGUAUUUGUUGAUGAGAUCAGCUGACCUGGAACUGAGCGCUGAUGCUGGGGGUCUUCUUCUUCUUGUUG